GACGAACGCUGGCGGCGUGCCUAACACAUGCAAGUCGAACGGAAAGGCCCUGCUUUUGUGUGGUGCUCGAGUGGCGAACGGGUGAGUAACACGUGAGUAUCCUGCCCUUGACUUUGGGAUAACUCCAGGAAACUGGGGCUAAUACCGGAUAGGAGCUCCUGCUGCAUGGUGGGGGUUGGAAAGAUUCGGCGGUUGGGGAUGUACUCGCGGCUUAUCAGCUUGUUGGUGGGGUAGUGGCUUACGAAGACUUUGACGGGUAGCCGGCCUUAGAGAGUGAACGGAGACAUGGGGACUGAGGUACGCACCAGAAGCCUAUGGGAGGCAGCAGUGGAAAAUAUGGCACAACGGCCGGAAGCCUGAUGCAGAAACGCCGCGUGCGGGAUGACGGCCUUCGGGUUGUGAACAGCUUUCGACUGAGACGAAGCGUGAUUGACGGUAAUGAGUAAAGAAGCACCGGCUAACUACGUG
rnacentral:rRNA from 1 species